ensembl:lncRNA
UAGACAGUGGAUCUCUUGGGACGAACAGUUGAAAGUCUUUUUCUCACUCUCCUUUUCUCUCUCUCUCUCUCUCUCUCUCUCUCUCUCUCUCUCUCUCUCUCUCUCUCCUGUUAUUCUGCUGUAAGUGGACGAGCUGGGGCUAUGCAUCUCCAGAGUGAUUCAUUCGAUUGAAGAAAGGAGACAAAACUAGCUAGCUGCCAGUCACCAGCCAGAGGGGUGUGUUAACUAGCUCCAAGUCUGACCUCUCCUCUGCUCUCCUCUUCUCUCCUCUUCUCUGUGGCAACCGAACACAGGAUAGGACAACCCUUCUCUCUCUCUCAUCUCCUCUCCUCUCCACCACUGGCUGUGGGAACUGGGAACAAGACCGGUAUAGCCCCCUCUAUACGCCCCCAAAAGAGACCUCGGCACAGGACAGACUGAGCUUCUGCUGCUGGAUCUGAAAUGGCACAUUCCGUAGAGCAGUCUUCCCAGAAGGAACUCCUCCACUGACUGCUCCACUCCUCAGCUGAACUCAGUCGGCUCCACGCGGCACUGCUGGAUCUGGGAGCAUGGACCUGAGCCAUAGGACCAUGCCUCAGGACUACCUGGCAUGAUGACUCCUUGCUGUCCCCAGUCCACCUGGCCGUGCUGCUGCUCCAGUUUCAACUGCUCUGACUGUGGCUAUGGAAUCCUGAUCUGUUCACCGGACGUGCUACCUGCCCCAGACCUAUUAUUUGAUUUAUGAUUUGUCAUUUAUGAACAUUUGACCAUCUUGGCCAUGUUCUGUUAUAAUCUCCACCCGGCACAGCCAGAAGAGGACUGGCCACCCCCCAUAGCCUGGUUCCUCUCUAGGUUUCUUCCUAGGUUUUGGCCUUUCUAGGGAGUUUUUCCUAGCCAACGUGCAUCAACACCUGCAUUGCUUGCUGUUUGGGGUUUUAGGCUGGGUUUCUGUACAGCACUUUGAGAUAUCAGCUGAUAUACGAAGGGCUAUAUAAAUACAUUUGAUUUGAUUUGAUUCAAACAGAGGCUCAUACAGAGUAUCCAGGACCAACGCCAGAUCCCAGGUCUUUGCUAUAGGCUUAGACCCUGAUCCGAGCCUACACACGUCUUUCAGGAAACCCACCACCAGAGGAUGAGACCCCAGGGUAGAGCCGUCCAUCCCUACCUGACACGUUGAAAUGGCUGACAUAUAAACCUGCUCAAAUAGCUCUUGCAAGAACAUCAAAAUGUCCACCAAAGAGCUCUGAAAAGCAGAAACUCCCUCACCCUGACAUCCACCCUCAAACGCGUGCCACUUAUAUGUACACAACCCUCUUGUAGAGGAUGCACGCGUCGACUGUAUAGUCGUAAUCAGGUUUGAGGAUAAACCCCUAGCCAUUAAAUUCCACCUUUCAGGGGCCAAACCCACAGAUCCCAUAUCUAUGGUCAUAGGUGCCAAAUCCUUCCGUGGGAAAAUAGAUCCCAAUGGCACAGAACGCCCCACAGGUCCCCGCCCAACAAACGCAUGAUUCAGAACCAAGUCCAGAACUAGACCCAGAAACUGAAUGCACAACUUUCUCUGUGAUUUAUGAUGAAUCCCAGCUACUGAAUAUGGUAAACCAGCAUGCAAGUGUGGAGCUCCAACUUUCCCUCGACGCCGCUACGACCAGCCAAAUGUCCAGAUAAGCCAAUACUCUUAUCCCAUGGCACCGCACCGGUGCCAAAGCCGCCUGAACCACCAUAAAAAAGGUGUGGGCGAUAGGGAGAUGGGGAGGAUGUAUAACACAUGAAAAUAUGCAUCCUUAAGAUCUAUGGACGUGAACCAAUUGCUGGGUCACGCAAUGACUGCAAUAGCCGGCGAAGUGUGAGUAUUUUGAACUUGCAACCUUGAGGUGCAUGUUUAAAACAUGCAAGUCCAGGAUGGGACGCAAUGUUCCAUCGCUCUUGGGAACUAAGAAGUACCGGCUAUACCAACAGCUCUGUACUUCUGACACAGGGACCACCCGAAUAGCCUGCUUUUGAAGGAGAUCUCCUCUCUCCAGGCAGGUGCUAGGACCUCGGGGACCGACAACGUAAUGACACCACGAAAAGGAGGAGGAUUCACAGCGAACUGCAGACCGUACACCCUCGUUUCCAUCCUCAUCACCCAUGGUGACUGCACAUGCCCGCCACUGAAUGGAGCACGCUGCCAGUCUUCCAUACAUUAUCUCAAGGGGCAGAGUGCCAACCUGAGAACUGGGAUAAUUUCGAUUUUUUUGUCAAGCUGUUUUCAUAUCCAUCACCCUUGAUAAUCGUGUGUCUGAACGUGGGGAAGGAACUAUGCGUUCUGAUACCUGGCCCACAUCGUGUUUGGGGACACCCAUGCUUGGAUUAGCCACCUUACUAGACUCUGGAGCCAAAUAGCGUGCCACUCAUCUGCAAAAUAUUUAAACAUAGGUAAGCGACAUUUCAACUCUGCCGGCACAGGAGGUAAAUACCUUCCCCCACACCUGGAGGCACUCCUCUGUGGCGGAGAUAAGCACCAUCAAAGGCACAUUCACCAAAUCAAAUCAAAUUUUAUUUGUCACAUACACCACCAAUGGUUCACUCGCCCUCGCCGAAUCCAAAGCCGGGACUUUAGGCUGCCCCGGUCUGAUGUCAUCCAAUUUACACUCUGAAAACCCUCCAGAACCAAUCAGGGAUAGUAUAUCAUUCCAUGGAAUCCAGACUCUGAACAUUGUCAGAGAAACCGAAAUGAGCCUAACUCAGCUGAGAUGACACCCAUAUCAAUUCCCAUCACCAAUCUUCCUCACAAAGUCAACCCAACUCCGAAUGGAAGUUGAACUUAGCCAGAGCAGUGGUCACACAAACUGUUCCGAGCCAAUGCCUCCUGAGCAUGAUUCCACCCCAGGCAAUAGUACAGCACUCGUGAGUAUCUUUCAUUUUCAUUGUGAAACCACAUGCGGUGGAGGUUCAAACUCGGCCGGUUAGCUUUUUUGAACGGACUCUUACCACUGGCCAUCUUACUCAAGCAAGGAAGCAUUAGCUACACAAGCAGAGCAGAACGUAGGUCACUGUUACCAAACACAAAAACUGAUACCAAGACCUAAAAAUUGAAACAUCUAGGGGGACGAGUACUCUCUCCCCACUAACAGACACCUAAGUCCGAUCCGAAUCUUCUAGCCAUCAUGUGCUUUAAAAGUUUGUAAAUUGCGUGACACGUUCUUCCUUCAGGUGAGCUGAAGAGCCCCGGUGUUAUAGCCAGGAAGGCGGGGCUUCCGAGGGUGGGAUCAACAUCCACUGGCCCGUUGGGCAUCAUUUCAGUUUGCUUCAGGUGAAUAGGAUUGGUCUUUGACUCCCCAUAAUACAUUAUACCGAGUGAUCGACUGAAAGGGAACUGAAUUUCAUUGUGAGGUAAUCCAAGUGAAAUGUCUGCUAUGUCUAUGUAAUUGAUGUUACCCUAGAAAGCCUCAUUUUCAGCUGAUUGGGAAUGUCUGCUAUGUUACUUUAUGUUCCCCUGCCACAGAGAUAAUGUAGCAUGUUAUAAACCAGGACUUGAAAACAUUCUUCAUCUUAAGAGUUUGUUACCAUAGGUUAAAAGAGGUUCAUUAACUAUACAAUACAUCUCAGCUCAUCCAACAAGAUGUGCAUUGUAGAUGACAUUUGCCACCUCUUGAUUCUUUUGCAAUUAUUUUGAACCUUGAAGAGAUUACCUGAAUGAGAUCCAGUUUUGUAAUAUGAAAGGACUGCCGAAAUCUUGUCCUUGGGACAUUGUUCCAAAGUAAUAUUAAUCAAAUGCUAUGGAUCUUUUUUUCUUCAUCUAUUAUGGGAUAAAUCGAGUGUAAUCCAUCAGACAGGAGAUUAAUGUUGAUCUACUACUUAAAAUGUCUUAUUUGUGGUUUCUUAACUCUGAGACAUGCUUGGAUUCUUUUGUUAUCACAGAUAUCUCUUUCAUGCUGUUCUGUGAGUCACCACUUUUCCUGUAAGUUGGACAAACUUAAAUGGUCCACACCAUACAGAUAGUGUGGGGAAGAAGGCAGCGCCUCUUCAACCUGAAGAAAUGUGUCUUGUCACUCAAAACCCUGACAAACUUUUACAGAUGCACAAUCGAAAGCAUCCUGUCAGGCUGUAUCACAGCCUGGUACGGCAACUGCACCGUCCUCAGCCGCAAGGCUUUCCAGAGGGUGGUCCGGUCUGCAUCAACGGGGGAAAACUACCUAGCCUCCAUGAGACCUACAGCACCCGAUGUCACAGGAAGGCCAAAAAGAUCAUCAAGGACAAAAACCAUCCGAGCCACUGCCUGUUCACACCGCUGCCAUCCAGAAGGCGAGGUCAGUACAGGUACAUCAAAGCUGGGACUGAGAGACUGAAAAACAGCUUCUAUCUCAAGGCCAUCAGACUGAUUUCUAUUUGCCAUAUAUUUUUUAACUGUGUUGUGAUGUUUCACAAAAGUUCUGAACCUUUCUAUUCGCAUAGUUUCUACAGAUUUAAAGAACAUUUAUUUGCUAAGAGUAUUAUUAUAUUAUUGAUCAAGUGACUAUGACUUUUCAAAUCACCCAGCAGUGCUAAAAAUCAAAUCAAAUCAAAUCAAAUCAAAUUUUAUUUGUCCCAUACACAUGGUUAGCAGAUGUUAAUGCGAGUGUAGCGAAAUGCUUGUGCUUCUAGUUCCGACAAUGCAGUAAUAACCAACAAGUAAUCUAACUAACAAUUCCAAAACUACUGUCUUAUACACAGUGUAAGGGGAUAAAGAAUAUGCUCAUAAGGAUAUAUGAAUGAGUGAUGGUACAGAGCAGCAUAGGCAAGAUACAGUAGAUGGUAUCGAGUACAGUAUAUACAUAUGAGAUGAGUAUGUAAACAAAGUGGCAUAGUUAAAGUGGCUAGUGAUACAUGUAUUACCUAAGGAUGCAGUUGAUGAUAUAGAGUACAGUAUAUACGUAUGCAUAUGAGAUGAAUAAUGUAGGGUAAGUAACAUUAUAUAAGGUAGCAUUGUUUAAAGUGGCUAGUGAUAUAUUUACAUCAUUUCCCAUCAAUUCCCAUUAUUAAAGUGGCUGGAGUUGAGUCAGUGUCAGUGUCAGUGUGUUGGCAGCAGC